rnacentral:rRNA from 1 species
CAGUCGCCGCGGUAAUACGUAGGGUGCAAGCGUUAAUCGGAAUUACUGGGCGUAAAGCGUGCGCAGGCGGUUUGUUAAGACAGAUGUGAAAUCCCCGGGCUCAACCUGGGAACUGCAUUUGUGACUGGCAAGCUAGAGUGUGGCAGAGGGGGGUAGAAUUCCACGUGUAGCAGUGAAAUGCGUAGAUAUGUGGAGGAAUACCGAUGGCGAAGGCAGCCCCCUGGGAUAACACUGACGCUCAUGCACGAAAGCGUGGGGAGCAAACAGGAUUAGAUACCCCAGUAGUCCCUGUCUCUUAUAA